GGAGGUGCAUGAAGUCUGGUGGCUUCCCUGGUCUUCAAAACCAGCGGCCUGCUUCACGGCGGGCAGUGGGUUCGAUUCCCAUUCACCUCCGCCA
rnacentral:tRNA from 1 species